CUGCCAUGUUAUCCCAGCUGCACACAGAUCACUGAUAUGAAUGUGAACACUGAUUUUUUAUUAUUAUUAAUUUAAAUAGGUAAGCUAACCUAGUGGUUGUGAUAAAUUACCUGAUAUAAUUAGCUAUCCAGUUAGCUUACCUGUUCAGGAGAAAAAAAUGCAAGCUUGGCAUCGGUCUUGUAGUCUUUUUGAGCUCUAAAGCUCAAUUCAUACAUCGAACCUAUGCAGUAGCCAACAUUUAUCCAGUGAGAGUGCGCUACAACCCAAUAACCCAACCCACUCAAUAGGACUCCCCCUAUCACUAGUGAUGACCCAACACACCAGGAGAGAAGGAGUUAUAAAGCAGAAGUGGUCACUGCCAUGUUGACUGACUGUAGAUCCUGUCUAAGAGACUGUUCACAUUCAGAGCAGUGCUUAACCUGGUAAGUGCUUUUUAUUGUUUUUUAAGUCUAUUAUUUGUACUAUACUAAGAUUAAUCACAUGUG
rnacentral:lncRNA from 1 species